GAGUUUGAUUAUGGCUCAGGAUGAACGCUAGCUACAGGCUUAACACAUGCAAGUCGAGGGGCAUCAUGGUAUUAGCUUGCUAAUACUGAUGGCGACCGGCGCACGGGUGAGUAACACGUAUCCAACCUGGCUUUCACUCAGGGAUAGCCCAUCGAAAGAUGGAUUAAUACUUGAUGGUAUAUACAUUUCGCAUGUUUUGUAUAUUAAAGAUUUAUCGGUGAUAGAUGGGGAUGCGUACCAUUAGUUUGUUGGCGGGGUAACGGCCCACCAAGACUUCGAUGGUUAGGGGUUCUGAGAGGAAGGUCCCCCACAUUGGAACUGAGACACGGUCCAAACUCCUACGGGAGGCAGCAGUGAGGAAUAUUGGUCAAUGGACGUAAGUCUGAACCAGCCAAGUAGCGUGAAGGAUGACUGCCCUCUGGGUUGUAAACUUCUUUUAUAUGUGAAUAAAUUUUUCCUACGUGUAGGUU
rnacentral:rRNA from 1 species